UACGAAGGGGGCUAGCGUUGCUCGGAAUCACUGGGCGUAAAGGGUGCGUAGGCGGGUCUUUAAGUCAGGGGUGAAAUCCUGGAGCUCAACUCCAGAACUGCCUUUGAUACUGAGGAUCUUGAGUUCGGGAGAGGUGAGUGGAACUGCGAGUGUAGAGGUGAAAUUCGUAGAUAUUCGCAAGAACACCAGUGGCGAAGGCGGCUCACUGGCCCGAUACGUGACGCUGAGGUGCG
rnacentral:rRNA from 1 species